AGUGAACGCUGGCGGUAGGCCUAACACAUGCAAGUCGAACGGCAGCACAGUAAGAGCUUGCUCUUACGGGUGGCGAGUGGCGGACGGGUGAGGAAUACAUCGGAAUCUACUUUUUCGUGGGGGAUAACGUAGGGAAACUUACGCUAAUACCGCAUACGACCUACGGGUGAAAGCAGGGGAUCUUCGGACCUUGCGCGAUUGAAUGAGCCGAUGUCGGAUUAGCUAGUUGGCGGGGUAAAGGCCCACCAAGGCGACGAUCCGUAGCUGGUCUGAGAGGAUGAUCAGCCACACUGGAACUGAGACACGGUCCAGACUCCUACGGGAGGCAGCAGUGGGGAAUAUUGGACAAUGGGCGCAAGCCUGAUCCAGCCAUACCGCGUGGGUGAAGAAGGCCUUCGGGUUGUAAAGCCCUUUUGUUGGGAAAGAAAAGCAGCAGGUUAAUACCCCGCUGUUCUGACGGUACCCAAAGAAUAAGCACCGACUAACUUCGU
rnacentral:rRNA from 1 species